AGCAGUCGCCGCGGGAAUACGGAGGAUCCAAGCGUUAUCCGGAUUUAUUGGGUUUAAAGGGUGCGUAGGCGGCCAAUUAAGUCAGGGGUGAAAGACGGUAGCUUAACUAUCGCAGUGCCUUUGAUACUGAUUGGCUUGAAUACACUAGAGGUAGGCGGAAUGUGACAAGUAGCGGUGAAAUGCAUAGAUAUGUCACAGAACACCAAUUGCGAAGGCAGCUUACUAUGGUGUGAUUGACGCUGAGGCACGAAAGCGUGGGGAGCAAAUAGGAUUAGAUACCCGCGUAGUCCCUGUCUCUUAUAC
rnacentral:rRNA from 1 species